UACGUAGGGGGCAAGCGUUGUCCGGAUUUAUUGGGCGUAAAGAGCUCGUAGGCGGCUUGUCGCGUCGACUGUGAAAACCCGUGGCUCAACCAUGUGGUCUGCAGUCGAUACGGGCAGACUAGAGUGUGGUAGGGGAGACUGGAAUUCCUGGUGUAGCGGUGAAAUGCGCAGAUAUCAGGAGGAACACCGAUGGCGAAGGCAGCUCGCUGGGACGUUACUGACGCUGAGACGCGAAAGCGUGGGGAGCAAACAGG
rnacentral:rRNA from 1 species